UACGUAGGGUGCAAGCGUUGUUCGGAUUUACUGGGCGUAAAGCGCGCGCAGGCGGCUAUCCAAGUCAGUGGUGAAAGCCCGGAGCUCAACUCCGGAACUGCCAUUGAAACUGUUUAGCUUGAGGACGAGAGAGGUGAGUGGAAUUCCCAGUGUAGAGGUGAAAUUCGUAGAUAUUGGGAAGAACACCGGUGGCGAAGGCGGCUCACUGGCUCGUAUCUGACGCUCAGGCGCGACAGCGUGGGGAUCAAACAGG
rnacentral:rRNA from 1 species